AUUGAACGCUGGCGGCAUGCCUUACACAUGCAAGUCGAACGGUAGAGGGGGCAACCCCUCGAGAGUGGCGAACGGGUGAGUAAAGCAUCGGAACGUGCCCAGUAGUGGGGGAUAGCCCGGCGAAAGCCGGAUUAAUACCGCAUGAGACCUACGGGUGAAAGGGGGGGAUCGCAAGACCUCUCGCUAUUGGAGCGGCCGAUGUCAGAUUAGGUCGUUGGUGGGGUAAAGGCCUACCAAGCCGACGAUCUGUAGCUGGUCUGAGAGGACGACCAGCCACACUGGGACUGAGACACGGCCCAGACUCCUACGGGAGGCAGCAGUGGGGAAUUUUGGACAAUGGGCGAAAGCCUGAUCCAGCCAUGCCGCGUGCGGGAAGAAGGCCUUCGGGUUGUAAACCGCUUUUGUCAGGGAAGAAAUCCUUUGAGCUAAUACCUCGGGGGGAUGACGGUACCUGAAGAAUAAGCACCGGCUAACUACGUGCCAGCAGCCGCCGUAAGAC
rnacentral:rRNA from 1 species